GUUUAUUCCUCAUUCUCCAAUAGGCCGCCUCAUCUUCUCUCUUCUUCCAUAUUUGAGAAAAUCCAAUUCUCCUCUUCCUCUAAGCUAUAAAAGGCCUCACCAUUUCUAGCAAAGCUUGAAUUCGGAUAGAUCUCUGUCCAGUUUUAGCCGUGGAGGAGAUUUACUUGGAUUUAAUCGUGCUGUUUUGUUUGUGAGGAAGGUCGGAUUGCGUCGGAUCUAAGACCCCGCACCCCAGUUCAUUGCAUCCAAAAAAGGUUAGUCUGGUUCUUUUAAUCUCGUUUUUGUUUUAUAUUUAAGAUGUAAAACCUGAAUGUAUUUUAUUUUCUUUUGCAUUUAACGAGUGCUUUUAGUAUCUAAAAUCCAUUGUUUAAUUUUGGUCGAGGAAUGUCAUUUUCUGUGUGAUUAGGAAGCACUGAUUUAGGGAUGCCUCUUGUCUCGAAUAAUGUUGGAGCUUAUAUUCAGUGUUCGCUGUCUUGUUGAUAAAAAUAUUAAAUUUUCAUAAGCAUAUGUUUUGUAUUCAAGAUAUUGAUGUAGGAAUUUCCUCUACAUGCUUCUUGUUUCACCUAGUGUAAUAUUUCACGAACAUGAAUUCUUCUGUGUUGUCUUGUGCCUAAGUCUUCAAAUAUGGAUAUGGUAAUUUCCUUUGUGAAACUUUUGUGUAGCCUAUGUCCUUAUAUUAUUCAUAUCUCAUAAAACAUAUUUUGAGUUUCAAAAAACUAUGAGAAUUCUGUUUAUACCCUUUUGUGCUCGAAAGUUUUUUACAUAUCAUGAUUUUAGUUUAUUAUACCAUGCUCUCUCUGGAUCCUUGCAUUUAAAGUCCUCUUUUCAUGAACCUGUUUAAGCUAAAAUACCAUCAUUUGAUAAAAGAGAGCAUGAACAUGGGGAUUAUUUUGUGUUAACAUUAUGACUUAUAGCAUCUCUUACAUAGUUAUAGGAAGAGGUAUAUCAAAUUAGCUAGCGAAAUGUUAAUUGAUUAUGGGACUUGAAUUAAGUUUGUUGAACAUUAAUGGUCCAGGACUUGAAGUAAAAUACGAUGGUCAAUUUACUUAAGAAUGUUACCGCAUCAAAUGUAAUUGUAUUUUAGUGACAUAUAUUAUAUGUUUUUUAUCAAUCGGGACUGCCCGCUAAUCUUCUUUAUAUCCCCUUCUUUUACAUGUACACUUUGGAGCAAAUGAAGUCUUAAUUCGGGACUCUCUCAAAACUCGAAGUCUUAACCCAAGUCUCUCCUAUUAUCCGAGCAUGGAGUCAAUUCCGCAGAGUUUCUUUUAAGUGCAUCGAAUCUCCAAGAGGAACGAGCAACUUUCGCUUCGGGCCUCCCAUGACAAUCUUUCAUCUACCGGUCAUUCUAUUUUCAUUAUUUUUGUUGACUUGUGUAUGUUUGGGUUUAUCCCAGUUUUGGAAUUUUAGGAUAAAUUUAUAGCAGUUAAUACACAGGUUUUAAUUUUAUCA